GAUGAACGCUGGCGGCGUGCCUAAUACAUGCAAGUCGAGCGAACAGACGAGGAGCUUGCUCCUCUGACGUUAGCGGCGGACGGGUGAGUAACACGUGGAUAACCUACCUAUAUGACUGGGAUAACUUCGGGAAACCGGUGCUAAUACCGGAUAAUAUAUUGAACCGCAUGGUUCAAUAGUGAAUGACGGCUUUGCUGUCACUUAUAGCUGGAUCCGCGCCGCUUUGGCUAGUUGGUAAGGUCACGGCUUACCAAGGCAACGAGGCGUAGCCGACCUGAGAGGGUGAUCGGCCACACUGGAACUGAGACACGGUCCAGACUCCUACGGGAGGCAGCAGUAGGGAAUCUUCCGCAAUGGGCGAAAGCCUGACGGAGCAACGCCGCGUGAGUGAUGAAGGUCUUCGGAUCGUAAAACUCUGUUAUUGGGGAAGAACAAAUGUGGAAGUAACUAUGCACGUCUUGACGGUACCGAAUCAAAAAGCAACGGCUAACUACGUG
rnacentral:rRNA from 1 species